rnacentral:rRNA from 1 species
GACGAACGCUGGCGGCGUGCCUAAUACAUGCAAGUCGAGCGCAGGAAACUGACGGAACUCUUCGGAGGGAAGGCAGUGGAAUGAGCGGCGGACGGGUGAGUAACACGUAAGGAACCUGCCUCAAGGAUUGGGAUAACUCCGAGAAAUCGGAGCUAAUACCGGAUAGUUCAACGGACCGCAUGGUCCGCUGAUGAAAGGCGCUCCGGCGUCACCUUGAGAUGGCCUUGCGGUGCAUUAGCUAGUUGGUGGGGUACAGGCCCACCAAGGCGGCGAUGCAUAGGCCACGUGUGAGGUGGAUCGGCCACACUGGGACUGAGACACGGCCCAGACUCCUACGGGAGGCAGCAGUAGGGAAUCUUCCACAAUGGACGAAAGUCUGAUGGAGCAACGCCGCGUGAGUAAUGAGGGUUUUCGGAUCGUAAAACUCUGUUGUAAGGGAAGAACACGUACGAGAGGAAAUGCUCGUACCUUGACGGUACCUUACGAGAAAGCCACGGCUAACUACGUGCCAGCCGCCGCUGUAACAC